rnacentral:rRNA from 1 species
AUUGAACGCUAGCGGAAUGCCUUACACAUGCAAGUCGAACGGCAGCGCGGACUUCGGUCUGGCGGCGAGUGGCGAACGGGUGAGUAAUGUAUCGGAACGUGCCCAGUAGCGGGGGACAACCACUCGAAAGAGUGGCUAAUACCGCAUACGCCCUACGGGGAAAGGGGGGGAGUCGCAAGACCUCUCACUAUUGGAGCGGCCGAUAUCGGAUUAGCUAGUUGGUGGGGUAAAGGCCUACCAAGGCGACGAUCCGUAGCUGGUUUGAGAGGACGACCAGCCACACUGGGACUGAGACACGGCCCAGACUCCUACGGGAGGCAGCAGUGGGGAAUUUUGGACAAUGGGGGAAACCCUGAUCCAGCCAUUCCGCGUGUGCGAUGAAGGCC